GUGAACGUAGCUCAGUUGGCAGAGCACUGGGUUGUGGCCCCAGCGGUCGGGGGUUCAAGUCCCCUCGUUCACCCC
rnacentral:tRNA from 1 species